UCCAUUUAGCUCCUCCAAAUUAACACUUUGUUUGGAUAGGUGGAAAAGAGAAAGAAAAGAUAAUAUCCUAGGGUAUUGAGAUACCUACUUUUUCUUAGAUGAUAAGUAAAAUUGUACAGAAUCAGUAUCUUUGCACACAACAGGUAAUUUUAUUGUUCCCACUACAAGGCUUUUUACCCUUCUAGUAUAUCAUCUUGAACACAGAUCUUUAAGUCGGCCAUGGCAUCUAGCUUCAUCCAAGACAACUGUGUGCACCACAACCAGCAUUACAAACCUCUAAAGCACCACUAGAAUGGAUCUGCAAUUUUAAUGCCGGCCAUCCUGUCCCAUUCUUCUGGAGGAANGACAACAUCUGCCAUUAUCUUUUCCUGACCACGCCAAAGAAUUUUGUCAAUUACCCCGAAAUCUUUAGCUCUUCUAGAAUCCAUAUAGAAUGGUCUUUUCAUUACAUUAGCUACUGUCUCUACAGAAUUUUCAGUGUGCUUGGCCAGAAGUUCAAUAAGGGUAUCCCUGUUAGUUAUUGCCUCUUUUGCACGGAUAAGAACAUCACUUGCAGGCAUCAGACCUGAAGAUGGAACUUUAGGCUGUUGGAUCAUGGCUUUUGCAUGUGGCAUCAUAAACCGUUUGCCUUUUGUUCCUGCUGCAAGUAGUAGACAAGCCUGGCCAAUAGCAGCUCCAACAGCAACUGUAUGUAUCUCAUUUUUUAACUGCAUCAUUGAAUCAUAAAUAGCAAAACCCUCUGUUUCCAUUCCCACUGUUUCACCAUCAUCACGUGUCGUUCCUGUGGAAUUUAUGUACAUAUAAAUUGGUUGUUUGGGAUCCAUCCACUGCAAGUACAUCAAUUCAGCAACAACGAGCUCUGUGACAGCAGGCACCAGAGGCAUGCCAAUAUAAACUAUUCUCCCAUGGAGAAGUAAUGAAGGCAAGUCCGGUGGUGGCUUCCUCGGCCGGUGCUCAUUGUACGACACUGAUCGUUCCACUUGAGCGGGGGUGGCCAUGAGCUGGGGAGAGUCGAAGAGGUCAAGAUACGGCGGCGUAUUAGAACUCACAGGUCGCUCAAGAAGCUUUUCAGGUGAAUUGGCA
rnacentral:misc_RNA from 1 species